GAGUUUGAUCUUGGCUCAGGACGAACGCUGGCGGCGUGCUUAACACAUGCAAGUGGAGCGACGAACCAGGCUUCGGCCUGGGGCAGAGCCGCGAACGGGUGAGUAACACGUGGGUAACCUGCCCCGAAGACCGGGACAACCCGAGGAAACUCGGGCUAAUACCGGAUGUGGUCACUCCUCACAAGUGGAGUGAGCAAAGGGAGCUUCGGCCCCCGCUUCGGGAUGGGCCCGCGGCCCAUUAGCUUGUUGGUGAGGUAACGGCUCACCAAGGCCGCGAUGGGUAGCUGGUCUGAGAGGACGAUCAGCCACACUGGGACUGAGACACGGCCCAGACUCCUACGGGAGGCAGCAGUGGGGAAUCUUGCGCAAUGGGCGACAGCCUGACGCAGCAACGCCGCGUGGGGGAAGAAGGCCUUCGGGUUG
rnacentral:rRNA from 1 species